GGUCCUGUGGUAUAAGACAUGAUGGGUUGCAAAUCUGAGGGUGUGGGUUAACACCUGCCUGGGUUU
rnacentral:tRNA from 1 species